rnacentral:lncRNA from 1 species
UGUUGUUUAUUAAAUUACAUUUUAUGAGCAUAAAAUAAUGCUUUUUAAAUAGAAUUAAAAUCUGGCCUCCAAACAACUUCCAAAUUAACCAACAAACGUGCCGGGAGCCAAUCAAACUUGGAAUUUUACCAAAAACACAACUCCUGCUAUUAAAAUAUAAAUUUCUCCCUCAGUAUCAUUUAUCUUUUCAUUUCCAACAGACACACAUCAAAGACCCAUUUCCAGCUCACGUGGGUACGGUUCUGGCUGCGCCGCUUCCCCGUCUGUUCCAAGCACGGAAGCAGAAAGCUCCCCUCGGUUAUUUUUGGGGUGUAACUGACACUCCGUGUCCCGCGUGUCAGGGUGCAACAUACUGAUUCAACUUCCAGUGUGUUUCAGUGAAGCAAGCAGAACUUUGACAACAAAGAAAUCAGUAAAUAGAAGAGCAUCGAUUGAUCUAAUAUAUAAGUAAUGGUGGAAAUCUAACCUGGCAGUGUGCGGAAAGGAGCAUAUACUGUGACCAAGCGUUUUUUUCCAGUGGAGCAGGACUAGCCCAAUAUCAGACCUACUGAUGUAAACCACCGUUUAAUAGAACAAAAAGGAAGAACACGAUCAUCUCCACAGAUGCUGACAAAACACUGGAUGGAUUCAACGUUCAUUCUCUUUUUAAAAUGCCCCCAGUGAAACAGUGAUUGAUAAACACGUCCUUAAUGGCACGACGGUGUGUCCCAACCUGAAAGCCACGCGGUGCCACUGCCUCCCCGGGGGGUUGAGGCCCCGGAGCUGACUUGGUGUCAGUGUCAGAACCACACGAAACCCCUAGGGACACAGCUGAAGGAAAUGUGCAAACAUGUAAGAGAAUUUGGGGGGCUGUAUAAAAUCAGAAAUAAGGCCCGCUAGGAAUCCCCUGGAAGGAGAGACUCCAUUUAUCAGGACCCAACAGCCACGAGUGUGCCAGAAGGGAUCGGGGUGCUCCACUGCAAGAAAGAAUCACACCCGAAGGCCCCGGACCGCAGACCCCUGCUUGCUCGUGCCCUGGGGCAGCCCCUCCCGCGCCCCCCACGCACCCCCAGGGCAGGACCUGUGGGCCCGGGCCUGGUUGGUUCAUUGGAGAUUGAACCGAACCGUGGGCGGCUUCCUGGGCCUGUGCAGUGGCUCCUCCCCGCGGACCCGCUGCCCGGCCGCCCUGCGUGGGGGACACUGGGCGGGGGCUGCGCCUUGGAGGUGGCAGCCUUGUCUCCCU